rnacentral:sRNA from 1 species
UGCAUCUGCAGCUCAUGAGGAUGAGAACCUCCGGGGGCAGGGAGGUUCGACUCGAGCGAAGCGAGAGAACGUUGCGCCAGCAACGGCCCGCAGGGCGAGCCACGAAGU